GACACUCUAGGCCCUCUGUGUGUUUAGGAAGAAGGGCUACUGGUCGCCGAAAGAUGGAUAUGUCUUCUUCAUUUUCAGACUGGAGACUUGGUUUCGUGAACUUACUGGACUACCCAGAACCAGACAUGUGCCUAAGGACGUCCAAAUUCAAUAAAAUCUAACAGAAAACGUGA